UACGGAGGUGGCGAGCGUUGCUCGGAUUUACUGGGUGUAAAGGGCGCGUAGGCGGUUCUGCAAGCCUUACCUGAAAUGUACUGGCUUAACCAGGGCACGUGGUAGGGAACUGCAGAACUUGAGGAUGGAAGAGGUGAGCGGAAUUCCCGGUGUAAGGGUGAAAUCUGUAGAUAUCGGGAGGAACACCAGUGGCGAAGGCGGCUCACUGGUCCAUUUCUGACGCUGAUGCGCGAAAGCUAGGGGAGCAAACAGG
rnacentral:misc_RNA from 1 species